rnacentral:lncRNA from 1 species
UAAUGAAUGUGUAAUUGAAAUUAACAAGCUCCCUUGGAAAAGUAAACAAUUCCUUUUGUGUUUUGGUUUUAAAAUAGAUCUUCAUUUCUUAAAGCAUGCUUUUAAUAUGAGAUUCUGAUGUCUUUCUUGCAUGUAGAUCUUGCCUCAUUCCCCUAAAAUUCCGCCUUCCAGCUCCUAUGCAAGAAAAGGGAUCUCAAGAAAAUAAUUUGUGGAGAAGUUGUAGCGAGAGGACUCAUCUCGGGUUAAAGGCGCUACAUGAUGAUGAAUGCCCUGCAUCUUUGGUGGAAUGCUCCAGCAGGUUUGAAUGACUAGAUUGUAAUGAAGAAUGCAGGAAUGCUAGGUUUCUGUGCUCAGUUUGGCAGGUUGUGAAUGACAAAUGAAAGCAACUAGUGAUUUGAUUUUCUUGCCCAUCUGCUUUAUACAUUAAACAUAAAAAUCAAG